CGGGGCGGCCCCCUGUGAGAAGCUUCUCGAAGCUCCCCCAGCUCCAAGCCAGCUCCACCUCUGUUUGGGGACAGCCACUUCCAGACAGCUCCCACAGACCCACCACGGGGCACGGCUGAGCCCCUCAGCGACACCGCUGGCACCCCCAGGAAACUGUAUUUCAGGAAGGGCAAAACCACUGCGUAGCCGUGCAAGGGACAGGAGCGAGGAGAAGUGAGAAACAGCAGCGUGAACACUGAGGGCAGAGAAGAAGGAGGGGAUGGAGGUGCUGCAGGGGCUGGAGCAGAAGAUGUCCUUGCUCAUGGAGAGCACCAGAGUGGAGCAGGUGUCCACACUGCAGCCCCACAACGGAGGGAGGUGGAUGUUUUCUGGAGGAACUGCGGCCCAUGGAGAGCCCAUGCCGGAGCAGUUCUUGAAGGAUCGUGGAAGGACCCACCCUGGAGCAAAGCGUGAGGAGGAAGGAGCAGCAAAGAGGAGCUGUUAGGGGCUGACUGCGGCCUCCAUUCCCCAACUCCUCUGCAGCGCUUGGGGGGUGGUGGUGGGGAGGUAGAGGAGCUGGAAAUAAGAGGGGUGCAGUUGAUCCAGGGUGAAGUUGGGGAGAAAGGUGUCGUUUUCAUUUACUUUUUGCUUCUCACCAUCCAACUCUCUUUUUAACUGGAAAAAAAAAAUAAAUUUCAUUUUUCCCUGUCA